AAUACCUCACUUCACAUUGAAUCCUAACCCUAGCCGCCAACCCUCCGCCGGAGAAGAAGAACUAGUCGCCGGAGAAGGAAGUCAACCGCCACCUCUUGUCGCGCUAGAGCUACCUCUGACUGCCAAAAAAGGUAAAAAAAAAUUUCAUUCGCUCGAAAUUUGAUUUUGAACACCCCCUUGGGAAAAUCGGAGCAAAAGGAUCGGCGGAUGAGGCAGAAAUCACGGGUGAAGCUUGGCGACACCGCUGCGGGAAAAAUAAAAAACCGCCUCUGAUGAGCCCUCUCCCAAUUUCCGUUUUGUGCAAUUUUUUCACUAUUGUAAUUACCAUUCUGUUUUCUACAGGUUGACCGAAGAAAAAUGCCCAACCACGAAGGUGAGCCAACAGAGCCGUCGCACGAAAAAUUCU
rnacentral:lncRNA from 1 species